UGAGACGGCCACCCAGCCUGCUCCCGUG
rnacentral:misc_RNA from 1 species